rnacentral:rRNA from 1 species
CCAAUAGCGUAUAUUAAAGUUGUUGCAGUUAAAAAGCUCGUAGUUGAAUUUCGGGAUUAGUAAGUUGGUCGUGCCUCUGGUAUGUACUGGCUUUACUGGUUCCUCCUUCUUGAAGAACUGUAAUGUCAUUAAUUUGGUGUUGCAGGGAAACAGGACUGUUACUUUGAAAAAAUUAGAGUGUUUAAAGCAGGCUAACGCUUGAAUACAUUAGCAUGGAAUAAUGAAAUAGGACGUUUGAUCCUAUUUUGUUGGUUUCUAGGAUUGACGUAAUGAUUAAUAGGGAUAGUUGGGGGCAUUAGUAUUCAAUUGUCAGAGGUGAAAUUCUUGGAUUUAUUGAAGACUAACUACUGCGAAAGCAUUUGCCAAGGAUGUUUUCAUUAAUCAAGAACGAAAGUUAGGGGAUCGAAGACGAUCAGAUACCGUCGUAGUCUUAACCAUAAACUAUGCCGACUAGGGAUCGGAUGAUGCUAAUUUUUUAAUGACUCAUUCGGCGCCUUACA